UGAGUAUUUUGGUUUUGAGUU
rnacentral:piRNA from 1 species